AAUAAAGACGACGAGAAACGUAGUAGCAUAGAAAGUGUUGUAUGUAAUAUCGUUAAUAAAAACGUUAAAGUUGUUGGUGUACCAUCAGAUCAAUGGCAAAGAGUUCGAACGGAGUAUUUACAAAAUCGUAAAAACGAAGGCGAUGAUAUGCCAAAGCAACAAGCGCAACAAACAGAUAUUGCUCAAAAAGCAAAAGAUCUUUUCGGUGAAGAAACUGUACAUGUGAUAGAUGAAGAGUGAUACAUGACAAGCGAUAUAAUCGUAUGUAUAAUGAAAGAAACAUCAUUUUAUUGAUAAAUAUUUAUUGAUUUUCAAGGAGGAAAUGGAAUAUGCGCGGUGGCGGAAACAUGCAACAAAUGAUGAAACAAAUGCAAAAAAUGCAAAAGAAAAUGGCUCAAGAACAAGAAAAACUUAAAGAAGAGCGUAUUGUAGGAACAGCUGGCGGUGGCAUGGUUGCAGUUACUGUAACUGGUCAUAAAGAAGUUGUCGACGUUGAAAUCAAAGAAGAAGCUGUAGACCCAGAUGAUAUUGAAAUGCUACAAGACUUAGUGUUAGCAGCUACUAAUGAAGCGAUGAAUAAAGCUGAUGAGCUUACUCAAGAACGUUUAGGUAAACAUACUCAAGGCUUAAACAUCCCUGGAAUGUGAUCAUAGAUGCAUUAUCCAGAACCUAUAUCAAAACUUAUUGAUAGCUUUAUGAAAUUGCCAGGCAUUGGUCCAAAGACAGCCCAACGUCUGGCUUUUCAUACCUUAGAUAUGAAAGAAGACGAUGUUGUUCAGUUUGCCAAAGCAUUAGUAGAUGUUAAAAGAGAAUUAACAUAUUGUAGCGUAUGUGGUCACAUUACUGAAAAUGAUCCAUGUUAUAUUUGUGAAGAUAAGCAAAGAGAUCGUUCAGUUAUUUGUGUUGUGGAAGAUGACAAAGAUGUCAUAGCUAUGGAAAAAAUGAGAGAAUACAAAGGUUUAUAUCACGUUUUACAUGGGUCUAUUUCGCCUAUGGAUGGCAUUGGACCAGAAGAUAUUAAUAUUCCUUCAUUGAUUGAACGCUUAAAAAGCGAUGAAGUUAGCGAAUUAAUCUUAGCUAUGAACCCGAACUUAGAGGGGGAAUCUACAGCCAUGUAUAUUUCUAGAUUAGUUAAGCCUAUAGGUAUCAAAGUGACGAGAUUAGCACAAGGGUUAUCGGUAGGUGGCGAUUUAGAGUAUGCUGACGAAGUAACUUUAUCUAAAGCAAUCGCAGGUAGAACAGAAAUGUAAUGUCUUCUAUUAAACAUUUUUGAAUUUAAUACUAUAGUAAGAAAAGUCACAGUGUAAUCAUUGUGGCUUUUUUUAUGGUGUGGUGUGAUGUACUACUUUAUUUGCGGUGUGGCGGUGGUAUGGUUUACCUAGUUUUACUGAGGGAUGGGUAAUCUUUAGGAAGCAAGCCGUUGGUUGUGAUUUGUUACUUCUAAUAGUAAUGAUGUGAAUUGGAUUAUCGAAUUAGAUCUACGGUUAUGGUGUGUUGGUGCUAUUAAUUUGAUAAAUGCGGUUGAUGGUUAAUGACUAUGCAAAUGAAAUUCUUUUGUAAUUGAAAUGAUAGAUGCUGGCUUAGUAGUUGUACUUCUUUGGUCUAAAGUUUAUUAAAUCAGCCUGUAUAGCGGUGUUUUGAGAGGUUAUUUAAAACUUGUAAAUUUAUUUUUAAUUUCUGGUAAANCUCGUUAAGGAACUCGGCAAAAUGACCCCGUAACUUCGGGAGAAGGGGUGCUCUUUAGGGUUAACGCCCAGAAGAGCCGCAGUGAAUAGGCCCAAGCGACUGUUUAUCAAAAACACAGGUCUCUGCUAAACCGUAAGGUGAUGUAUAGGGGCUGACGCCUGCCCGGUGCUGGAAGGUUAAGAGGAGUGGUUAGCUUCUGCGAAGCUACGAAUCGAAGCCCCAGUAAACGGCGGCCGUAACUAUAACGGUCCUAAGGUAGCGAAAUUCCUUGUCGGGUAAGUUCCGACCCGCACGAAAGGCGUAACGAUUUGGGCACUGUCUCAACGAGAGACUCGGUGAAAUCAUAGUACCUGUGAAGAUGCAGGUUACCCGCGACAGGACGGAAAGACCCCGUGGAGCUUUACUGUAGCCUGAUAUUGAAAUUCGGCACAGCUUGUACAGGAUAGGUAGGAGCCUUUGAAACGUGAGCGCUAGCUUACGUGGAGGCGCUGGUGGGAUACUACCCUAGCUGUGUUGGCUUUCUAACCCGCACCACUUAUCGUGGUGGGAGACAGUGUCAGGCGGGCAGUUUGACUGGGGCGGUCGCCUCCUAAAAGGUAACGGAGGCGCUCAAAGGUUCCCUCAGAAUGGUUGGAAAUCAUUCAUAGAGUGUAAAGGCAUAAGGGAGCUUGACUGCGAGACCUACAAGUCGAGCAGGGUCGAAAGACGGACUUAGUGAUCCGGUGGUUCCGCAUGGAAGGGCCAUCGCUCAACGGAUAAAAGCUACCCCGGGGAUAACAGGCUUAUCUCCCCCAAGAGUUCACAUCGACGGGGAGGUUUGGCACCUCGAUGUCGGCUCAUCGCAUCCUGGGGCUGUAGUCGGUCCCAAGGGUUGGGCUGUUCGCCCAUUAAAGCGGUACGCGAGCUGGGUUCAGAACGUCGUGAGACAGUUCGGUCCCUAUCCGUCGUGGGCGUAGGAAAUUUGAGAGGAGCUGUCCUUAGUACGAGAGGACCGGGAUGGACAUACCUCUGGUGUACCAGUUGUCGUGCCAACGGCAUAGCUGGGUAGCUAUGUGUGGACGGGAUAAGUGCUGAAAGCAUCUAAGCAUGAAGCCCCCCUCAAGAUGAGAUUUCCCAACUUCGGUUAUAAGAUCCCUCAAAGAUGAUGAGGUUAAUAGGUUCGAGGUGGAAGCAUGGUGACAUGUGGAGCUGACGAAUACUAAUCGAUCGAAGACUUAAUC
rnacentral:rRNA from 1 species